rnacentral:rRNA from 1 species
GAUGAACGCUGGCGGCGUGCUUAACACAUGCAAGUCGAACGAUGAAGCCCAGCUUGCUGGGUGGAUUAGUGGCGAACGGGUGAGUAACACGUGAGUAACCUGCCCUUGACUCUGGGAUAAGCCUGGGAAACUGGGUCUAAUACUGGAUAUGACUUCUCAUCGCAUGGUGGGGGGUGGAAAGAUUUAUUGGUCUUGGAUGGACUCGCGGCCUAUCAGCUUGUUGGUGAGGUAAUGGCUCACCAAGGCGACGACGGGUAGCCGGCCUGGGAGGGUGACCGGCACACCGGGGCUGGGACACGGGCCAGACUUCUACGGGGGGGAGGAGGUGGGGAUAAUUCACAAAGGGGGCAAGCCUGAUGCAGCGGCGGCGGGGUAGGGAUGGCGGCCUUCGGGGUGGAAAACUCUUUCAGGAGGGAAGAAGGGGGAGUGAAGGGUCCUGGAGGAGGAGGGGCGGCUAACUACGGU